rnacentral:rRNA from 1 species
AUUGAACGCUGGCGGCAUGCCUUACACAUGCAAGUCGAACGGUAGCACGGGGCAACCUGGUGGCGAGUGGCGAACGGGUGAGUAAUGCAUCGGAACGUACCUUUCAGUGGGGGAUAACGUAGCGAAAGUUACGCUAAUACCGCAUAUUCUGUGAGCAAGAAAGCAGGGGAUCGCAAGACCUUGCGCGGAUUGAGCGGCCGAUGUCAGAUUAGCUAGUUGGUGAGGUAAAGGCUCACCAAGGCGACGAUCUGUAGCGGGUCUGAGAGGAUGAUCCGCCACACUGGAACUGAGACACGGUCCAGACUCCUACGGGAGGCAGCAGUGGGGAAUUUUGGACAAUGGGGGCAACCCUGAUCCAGCCAUGCCGCGUGAGUGAAGAAGGCCUUCGGGUUGUAAAGCUCUUUCGGCCGGGAAGAAAUCGCACGGGCUAAUACCCUGUGUGGAUGACGGUACCGGAAUAAGAAGCACCGGCUAACUACGUGCCAGCAGCCGCAGAACAC